GGGAGCUUUGGCCUUGUCCCCUCCCACUGCCGAAAAAAGCAGCGAUUCCACAAAAUGUGCAGGAGGGGGGGAAAACGGCACUCGGCAAACUUAAACCUGCAUCAGGCAGUGCCCGAAGGUUUUCCACUCGCUUCGCUUCUUUUAUUGCAUUUCAUUUUUAUUUUUUUUGGUCUUUUGUUUUUUUCUCUUCACUCUCUCUCAAGCUCUAACCCGAAACACAACGAUGAUCUCCACAUUAUCAGAAGGGAACGAGCAGCGUUUCGGCCAUGUUUCGCAGCGCCGUGGUACAGAAGUGCAUUGUAUUGGGACCCGAGUAAGGAAGGAGGGAGCGAAGGAGGAGGAGGAGGAGGAGGAGGAGGGUGCUGGAGAAGCACACAGCUGCACGGCACACAGAAGCCGGUUUCCAACCCUGACAGCGAGCGAGGGAGUGAGUGAGUGAACGAGGGGCCUCGCUCUCGCUUAGCCAGCUCCGUCCAGGAGAAAAAGAGAGAGAGAGAGAGAAAUAGAGAAAGAGCGAGAGAUUUUCUUUCUUUUCUUUUCUUUUUAACCGCUCUAAAAUACAGAAUGGAUCGGGACGAGAAAGAGGAUUCUUUUUCCCUCCUCCCGCGUUACAGGCUACUACUUAUCCACUACACAGGAUGAGCUGCGUGCGUUUGAUACACAUCUGGAGUUGUGCUACAUCAGGAGUAAAAAGUUAAGAAGUCACCUUGUGCAGCAUACAGAUCCGGUCGACUUUAAGUGAUGAUGAAGAAUUCAGUUGGUGCAGUUCGUCCUCAUAAAGUCUGCGACUUUCCUCGGAAGUCGAUCUGAGUGACGUAAAGGCUUUUCCACUGCAGCCAUGCAUAAGUCAUGCGGCUCUACCGCUUUCACCUGCGGCAGUGUGCGUCACGUGGUAGAGGUUUUGUGUGUGUGUGUGUGUGUGUGUGUGUGUGUUGGCAGUAGGGAAGGCACAGCUGGUAAGUUCUGCAUCACAGUCACACUCAGACACACAUGAGUAUAUUCAUCAUAUCAAACAGAAGGCAAGAGGUGGUCGAGUUCAGCAUCUCAGAAACACACACGCAUUUGUCUUACUAUCCUUAUGAGGAACUUCCCCCCGAGAUCAUCAUCAUCAUCAUCGCAGCUCAGCGAUAUUAAAUUAAACCCCGACCUUAUUGACAAAUCAAGCAGGUUUUUAUUUUCAAAUACUAAACAAAAAAUGACACUCAUAUAUAUGUUUACACACAUCUUGCUAGUCUAGUGAGGACCUGACGAAAUAAACGUCCCUGCAAAUGUCCACAAAUUUGUUUGAUAUUUUUAUUCUUGUAGGGACAUUUGGUGAUCUAAGACAAAAAAAAGCAUCCCGUGUACCCCCUCAUACACACAAACACACACACACCCACACACACACUGUUGUUUUACUCUCAUUGUGAGGACUGUCUAUCGAGGACCAGCCAAGUGUCCCAACAAGGUCAAAAAUAUUCCUAUCCUUGUAAAGACUAAGAUAUAAAUACUUGCUCACAAAGUCUAAACAUAAAUUCAUUAGGUAAGUACAACUAUAAAUCUGUCUUUUUUUUUCUUUCUUUUUGAAUAGUAGCUACCAGUCAAAAGUUUUGACACCCCUUCAAAUUCCAUGGUCGUUCCUGAUUUUUAUAUUUUUCUACAGUGUAAAACAAUUUGGAGGCAUUAAAACAUGCAAUAAUCUCAUAAAUUUAAACAGUUGAUAUUGAGAUGUAUCUGCUACUUAUGAUCUGUAAAGCUUCAUAACGCCUCUAAUCUGUUUGUUAAUUGCUGAUUUCUGAAGCUGGUAAGUCUAAAUGAACUUCUUCUCUGCAGCAGAGGUAGGUUUUGGUGAGUUUUUCUUUUCUGAACAGCUGACCUUCGUGUCUGUAAUUAACCUAAUUACAUAAAACCAUUUGUGUUAUUUUAUAGUUUCGAAAAAAACAAAAACAAAUCCAGUAUUGUUCUAGAAUGUAGAAAAUAAAUCCAAAAUUGUGGCCAAACUUUUGACUGGUACUGUUCGCUAAUAAAGCUGAAGUUGAUAACAAUGAUAACGACAGUAUUUAAUUCAAUGUAACUGUACCUUUGAAACUGCAAAAUGAUCAAUAAAGUAAAUUGGA